CACUGACGCGUAAAGGACGCGUAGGCCGGUCUGUAAGUCAGGUGUGAAAUGCAAUGGCUCAACCAUUGAACUGCACUUGAAACUGCGGACCUAGAGUAUGGAAGGGGCAGAUGGAAUUAGUGGUGUAGGGGUAAAAUCCGUAGAUAUCACUAGGAAUACCGAAAGCGAAGGCGAUCUGCUGGGACAUAACUGACGCUGAGGCGUGAAAGCGUGGGGAGCAAACAGGAUUAGAUACCCUGGUAGUCCACGCCCUAAACGAUGAAUGUUAGUCGUCGGGGUACUCGUUACUUCGGUGAUGCACCAAACGGAUUAAACAUUCCGCCUGGGGAGUACGGUCGCAAGAUUAAAACUCAAAGGAAUAGACGGGGACCCGCACAAGCGGUGGAGCAUGUGGUUUAAUUCGACGAUACACGAAGAACCUUACCUGGUCUUGACAUAGGAAGAACUUACUAGAGAUAGUUUGGUGCUAGCUUGCUAGAACUUCCAUACAGGUGCUGCACGGCUGUCGUCAGCUCGUGUCGUGAGAUGUUGGGUUAAGUCCCGCAACGAGCGCAGCCCUCGUCGUUAGUUGCUAACAGUUCGGCUGAGCACUCUAAGAAGACUGCCUUCGCAAGGAGGAGGAAGGUGAGGACGACGUCAAGUCAUCAUGGCCCUUACGGCCAGGGCUACACACGUGCUACAAUGGGACGUACAGAGAGUUGCGAUACCGCGAGGUGGAGCCAAUCUCAUAAAGCGUCUCUCAGUUCGGAUUGUUCUCUGCAACUCGAGAGCAUGAAGCUGGAAUCACUAGUAAUCGUAGAUCAGCAUUGCUACGGUGAAUACGUUCCCGGGUCU
rnacentral:rRNA from 1 species